rnacentral:rRNA from 1 species
AGGGCUCGCAGGCGGUUUCUUAAGUCUGAUGUGAAAGCCCCCGGCUCAACCGGGGAGGGUCAUUGGAAACUGGGGAACUUGAGUGCAGAAGAGGAGAGUGGAAUUCCACGUGUAGCGGUGAAAUGCGUAGAGAUGUGGAGGAACACCAGUGGCGAAGGCGACUCUCUGGUCUGUAACUGACGCUGAGGAGCGAAAGCGUGGGGAGCGAACAGGAUUAGAUACCCUGGUAGUCCACGCCGUAAACGAUGAGUGCUAAGUGUUAGGGGGUUUCCGCCCCUUAGUGCUGCAGCUAACGCAUUAAGCACUCCGCCUGGGGAGUACGGUCGCAAGACUGAAACUCAAAGGAAUUGACGGGGGCCCGCACAAGCGGUGGAGCAUGUGGUUUAAUUCGAAGCAACGCGAAGAACCUUACCAGGUCUUGACAUCCUCUGACAAUCCUAGAGAUAGGACGUCCCCUUCGGGGGCAGAGUGACAGGUGGUGCAUGGUUGUCGUCAGCUCGUGUCGUGAGAUGUUGGGUUAAGUCCCGCAACGAGCGCAACCCUUGAUCUUAGUUGCCAGCAUUCAGUUGGGCACUCUAAGGUGACUGCCGGUGACAAACCGGAGGAAGGUGGGGAUGACGUCAAAUCAUCAUGCCCCUUAUGACCUGGGCUACACACGUGCUACAAUGGGCAGAACAAAGGGCAGCGAGACCGCGAGGUUAAGCCAAUCCCACUAAUCUGUUCUCAGUUCGGAUCGCAGUCUGCAACUCGACUGCGUGAAGCUGGAAUCGCUAGUAAUCGCGGAU